rnacentral:rRNA from 1 species
UACGGAAGGCAGCAGGGGGGGAAUAUUGCACAAUGGGCGCAAGCCUGAUGCAGCCAUGCCGCGUGUAUGAAGAAGGCCUUCGGGUUGUAAAGUACUUUCAGUCGUGAGGAAGGUGUUAAGGUUAAUAACCUUAGCAAUUGACGUUAGCGACAGAAGAAGCACCGGCUAACUCCGUGCCAGCAGCCGCGGUAAUACGGAGGGUGCGAGCGUUAAUCGGAAUUACUGGGCGUAAAGGGCACGCAGGCGGUUAAUUAAGUUGGAUGUGAAAUCCCCGGGCUUAACCUGGGAAUGGCAUUCAAGACUGGUUAGCUAGAGUCUUGUAGAGGGGGUUAGAAUUCCAUGUGUAGCGGUGAAAUGCGUAGAGAUGUGGAGGAAUACCGGUGGCGAAGGCGGCCCCUGGACAAAGACUGACGCUCAUGUGCGAAAGCUGGGGAGCAAACAGGAUUAGAUACC